GGGCCCGUAGCUCAAUUGGUAGAGCGCGCGGAUGGCAUUCGCGAGGUAGGGGGAUCGUAGCCCCCCGGGUCCA
rnacentral:tRNA from 1 species